CAGCUGGUGUGGGUGCCAUUGAAGGAGUUGUGAUGGAAAUAAUUGUCACCUUUGCUUUGGUAUACACUGUAUACGCAACAGCAGCUGACCCAAAGAAGGGCUCAUUGGGCACAAUUGCACCUAUUGCUAUUGGUUUCAUUGUUGGUGCUAACAUUUUGGCUGCUGGCCCAUUCUCUGGUGGAUCAAUGAACCCAGCCCGUUCAUUUGGGCCUGCAGUUGCUGCCGGUAACUUUGUUGGUCACUGGAUUUACUGGGUUGGCCCACUCGUUGGUGGUGGAUUGGCUGGCCUUAUUUACAGCAAUGUGUUCAUGAACCAAGAGCAUGCUCCUCUCUCCAGUGAU
rnacentral:lncRNA from 1 species